CCUACGGGAGGCAGCAGUGGGGAAUAUUGCACAAUGGGGGAAACCCUGAUGCAGCGACGCCGCGUGAAGGAAGAAGUAUUUAGGUAUGUAAACUUCUAUCAGCAGGGAAGAAAAUGACGGUACCUGACUAAGAAGCCCCGGCUAACUACGUGCCAGCAGCCGCGGUAAUACGUAGGGGGCAAGCGUUAUCCGGAUUUACUGGGUGUAAAGGGAGCGUAGGCGGCGAUGCAAGUCAGAAGUGAAAGUCCGGGGCUCAACUCCGGGAUUGCUUUUGAAACUGUGUUGCUAGAGUGCAGGAGAGGUAAGUGGAAUUCCUGGUGUAGCGGUGAAAUGCGUAGAUAUUAGGAGGAACACCAGUGGCGAAGGCGGCUUACUGGACUGUAAAUGACGCUGAGGCUCGAAAGCGUGGGGAGCAAACAGGAUUAGAUACCCUAGUAGUC
rnacentral:rRNA from 1 species